rnacentral:lncRNA from 1 species
CAGCCGCGCCCCCUCCCUCGCGGGCAGCUCUCCCUGGCCGGGGUCUGGCUCUCCGGGACCGCUGCCCUCACGCGCCGCAGACGGGACCCUCCGGGUGUCUUCAUGGGAGGCGACACCGGCACAAGCCCCGCGUGGACACUGUGGCCCACGGGCGCGGCAGAACCUCGUCCCGAGGCGAGACCUGGGCUGCCCGCUCUCUGGGGAAUACUGGAGGUUAUGCCCCAUCUCCUGUCCUGUGGGAGAACCCACCCUCCGAACGAGGCUCUGGUGAGGUUUUCACAAUCAGUAACAAGGCCGAUCUCCAUCAAUGGAAGUCUCCCCGUUUGAGAUGGGGUGUGUGCUCCUUACCCAGGCUCCUGAACAAAACCCACCUCCUUGUCUUGGCACCACUGAGAGUGCACACCGAGGGGGCUCCAGCACCAGAUUGUGGGAACAGUCACGAGAAAGCAGCUCAGACUUCACACCCAGAGCCCUUGAUCCCUACACACCCAGUAUUCCUUCACAGCGCUCUUCCUGCUUCCUGGACACGUGGAACUGCUUCUCCAUCGGGGAGGAUCCAUCCAGAGCCCUUUGGGUGGGUGCUCAGGGCAAUAGCUGCUGCCUCUUCCUUCUGCUCAGUGCUGGGAGGCGUUACACUUUCCCCAUAUGGCACGGAGCAGAACGUGCACCUUUGGCUCUGGAAGGAAUGAACAUCCUACCCGUUAGUUAGCCCUGGGAGUCACUGACUCGGUUCUUCCCUGGACACCAAUGUCCUAUGGAGCACACAGAAAGCCACGGAAGUGUGGUCUGCGGGUUGAGGUGGGUAUUCAGAUGCCAGCCUGCAGCCCACUUACAUUGUUUCUUUUGGACUGACACCUUGCCGGAUGCUCAGAUGCCCACAGCGCAGGGGAAGGGACGGCCUAGAGUCCGAGGCGUGGGCAGGGAGCUGGCCCCCGUCCAUUGCUGCAGCUCCGCAGCAGCAGGACAGCCCUGGGAGGUGGAGACGGACUCCGUUCAUGUGGAUAAGCAGAGGAAAUUUGGCAGAAACGACCAAAUGCAAAAUACGUGUAGCAGCCUGAGACCGGCCGUCUACUGAAACAAAGGAUGCAGUUCAGUCGGAAACCACGCUUAGCUGAGUAGCUGUCUUUAGCCAUCCAGGCCCUGAGAACCAAUGAACAACCCAGCUUGGCCGCUUAGAACAUUUUUUCUAUACUUGAGUUAAAUAGAUAUCCAAGAACCAUUACUCGUUUUUAAUGUGGAGAAGUCGGUAUUCUAUUCUCGUGUUCUAUGUUUUUUAAAGUGGCAAUUUGAAUUAUUUCGUGCGAUAGAAAACCUUAAACACAAAGUAACGUUUCUAACAAAAGGGCUGUCGAUCAAGUGACAAACACGUCCUACUUUUAGAUACAAGCACGACUGAGGCAACGGCACGAAGACGCCUAAAGUGGGCUGCUGGGGAGACAAGAUCUGGCCGCGAAUGGAACUCGCGGCAGCUCAUUAACGGGACCGUCCAGCAGGAAGGUCUCAGGGCACUGUCGCCCCUACUCACUUUGAUGAAGCCAGUGCUGGGUUGCUGCUGAGGUGGGGAGGUUCAUGGGCCAGGAACUGAAGGCAGCCAUGAGAGCCAGACCCCUCCACCACCCCCAAGACAGCAGGGAACUCACUCCAACAGCCACCCUGGGAUGCUGCCACAGCUGAGCCUGGAGGUGACCGUGACCCUGGCUGACGUCGGACUGCAGCUUUGUAAGGGAGACUGAGCCGGGACCCAGACCUACAAAAGCUGAGAUGAUAAACACUGUUUUAAGCUGCUGUGUGUCGCAGUGACUCGUGUGGUAGUGGAUUUCUAGCAGAGCCGUCGUUCGUGUCUGCCUUCUCUCAGCUCAACACUCUGUAGGGCCACCCAUGCCGUUGUGCAUGUCAACGGUGGAUUUUUUAUUGCGAGUAAUAUUUCAUUCCAUUGCAUGCUCACACCUCGGUUUGUUUAACUGUCUACCUGUUGAUGAGCUCUGGGACAUAUGCAGUUCUGGGCUAUUAUGAGUAAAGCUGCUUUUAACAUUUAAAUACAAGUCUGUGUAUGGACACAUGUUUUCGUUUCUUUUGAAUAAAUAUGUG